rnacentral:misc_RNA from 1 species
UCAUUUACAAGUAACUUUACCAGUGAGUAUGAACAUGAUUUUUAACUGUUUUUAAAACCUAAAGCUUUUUAUCCAUUGAAUGUUCUUUAGAAUAAGGAGACAAAAUUGGCAUUAUGCCAAUGCCUCUAGGAAAAUAAAUACCUAAUUUUAAGUUGAAUUUUGCAUUCUGUUGCUUUUGUUGGAACACUGAAUUGUGUUAACUAAUUUGAAGUGUCAGCAUCAUAUCCUUGUCCAAGUACUCUUAUCCAAUAUCGGUAACGUAGGGUAAAGUAAAGAGUUGAAGAAGUUUAAAAAAUAAGUUGAAGAAGUUAUGAAUUUUAAGCUUAUUUUCAACUUAAUUGAACUUCGUUAUUGCUAAUGAUUGAAUCUUUUUGCCAGAGACAUUUAAAUAUCCUGAGACAUUUUAUAUAAAUAAAUCCUGAGAUAUUUCAAAUAACAAAGGUGGACUAUUUGCUGCACAUUGGACAUUUGAACUGUGAUUAGGGCUAAUUUUUCUUCAUGAUCAUGCAAUGAAAUCAGGGAAACUUGAUUUAGACUAAUUUUUACUGUAAAUUAUCUGAGAAAAUUGAAGAAACAUUGCUGAGUUAGGUUAGCAUUUGAUAGCCAUGAAUUGUAAUGUUUUGUCUCCUUCUUCUAUUAUAUUUUCUUUUCCAAGUUUUUGGUUUCCAUCAUUUUUAAGGCUGGAAGUUGCAAGCAUUAUUAUUUUCUGCCAUGUAAAAUAGUUAUUAUUAUUUUUUUAUACUUCCUAUUUACUUACACUUUGUUUCUCCAGGUAUACUUGUAUGGUGGUCAAG